rnacentral:rRNA from 1 species
AGAGUUUGAUCCUGGCUCAGAACGAAUGCUAGCGGCAGACCUAACACAUGCAAGUCGAGCGGACAACCUUCGAGGGUUGUUAGCGGCGAACGGGUGAGUAACACGUGAGAAUCUGCCUUGUUCAACGGAAUAGACCAAGACAAUCUUGGUGUAAUGCCGUAUGAUUCCAAGAUUUGGUAAAGAUUAUAUCGGAACAAGAUGAGCUUGCGGUAGAUUAGCUAGUUGGUGAGAUAAAAGCCCACCAAGGCAACGAUCUAUAGCUGGUCUGGAAGGACGGACAGCCACAUCGGGACUGAGACAAGGCCCGACCCUCUGCGGAGGGCAGCAGUGAGGAAUAUUGGACAAUGGGCGUAAGCCUGAUCCAGCCAUGUCGCAUGAGUGAUGACGGUCAUAAUGACCUAGCGCAGUAUGCGCUUUAGAAUUGUAAAGCUCGAUUGUUAGUGAAGAUAAUGACGUUAACUGACGAAAGCUCCGGCCAACUUCGUGCCAGCAGCCGCGGUAAUACGAGGGGAGCGAGUGUUGUUCGGUUUUAAUGGGCGUAAAGGGUGUGUAGGUGGUCUUGUUAGUCGAUAAUCAAAUCUUGGAGAUCAACUCCAUGCCGGUUAUCGAUACUGCAUUACUACGAACUUAAUAAGGUGGAACACAAUUCCAAGUGUAGGAGUGAAAUCCGUUGAUAUUUGGAGGAGUACCGAAGGCGAAGGCAGUUCACUGGGUUAAGUUGACGCUGAAACACGAAAGCGUGGGGAGCAAACAGGAUUAGAUACCCUGGUAGUCCACGCUCUAAACGAUGAGUGCUAACAGUUUGGAACCAAACCCGAUGGCCCAAGUGAAGACCUGAGGUCCGGACCAUUUGAUCAGGCUAUUGGUGUCUUCAUUGUAAAGCUAACGCGUUAAGCACUCCGCCUGGGGACUACGAUCGCAAGAUUAAAACUCAAAGGAAUUGACGGAGACCCGAACAAGCGGUGGAGCAUGUGGUUUAAUUCGAAGCUGCACGAAGAACCUUACCAGCUCUUGACAUCCGAUGCUAAACAUGUUGGAAACAACAUGAACGCUUGCAUAAGCAAGCAUGCCUUGGACAGGUGCUGCAUGGCUGUCGUCAGCUCGUGUCAUGAGACGUAUGGUUAAGUCCUAGAACGAGCGUAACCCUUGCCCAUAGUUGCCCAAUCACACCCCAAGUUCGAUCUUGGGGUCUUAAGGUUCUCUAUGGGAACUGCCAAUGCAAGUUGGACGAAGGAAAGGACAACGGCAAGUCAUCAUGGCCCUUAUGGGCUGGGCUACACACGUGCUACAAUGGCAACUACAAAGAGUCGCAAUAUCGUGAGAUGGAGCAAACCUUAUAAAAGUUGUUUCAGUUCGGAUUGCACUCUGCAACUCGAGUGCAUGAAGCAGGAAUCGCUAGUAAUCGUGGAUCAGCAUGGCACGGUGAAUACGUUCUCGGGUCUUGUACACACUGCCCGUCACACCAUGGAAGCUUGCUUCGUUCGAAGCUUCUAGUUUAGAAGCCAAAACAAGACAAGUGAUCGAGGUGAAGUCGUAACAAGGUAGCCGUAGGAGAACCUGUGGCUGACACAUAA